CCUACGGGAGGCAGCAGUGGGGAAUAUUGGACAAUGGGCGAAAGCCUGAUCCAGCGAUGCCGCGUGAGUGAAGAAGGCCUUAGGGUUGUAAAACUCUUUCACCAGGGAAGAUAAUGACGGUACCUGGAGAAGAAGCCCCGGCUAACUCCGUGCCAGCAGCCGCGGUAAUACGGAGGGGGCUAGCGUUGUUCGGAAUUACUGGGCGUAAAGCGCGCGUAGGCGGUCAAGUAAGUUGGAGGUGAAAUCCCGGAGCUCAACUCCGGAACUGCCUUCAAAACUGCCUGACUAGAGGCAGGGAGAGGAGAGUGGAAUAUCCAGUGUAGAGGUGAAAUUCGUAGAUAUUGGAUGGAACACCAGUGGCGAAGGCGACUCUCUGGCCCUGAUCUGACGCUAAGGCGCGAAAGCGUGGGGAGCAAACAGGAUUAGAUACCCUGGUAGUCCACGCCGUAAACGAUGAGAACUAGAUGUUGGGAGGGUUACCUCUCGGUGUCGCAGCUAACGCGUUAAGUUCUCCGCCUGGGGAGUACGCCGGCAACGGUAAAACUCAAAUGAAUUGACGG
rnacentral:rRNA from 1 species